CUCCAUUCCCUGCGGUAGAUUCCAUGCGGCUCCAUCACCCCACGACCCUGCUCCACCUCCUGCGAUGGAUUCCACGCGGCUCCAUCACUCCCUGGCAGGCCGUAAUAAUGGCCACGGCCCUGCUCCACUUCCUGUGAUGGAUACCGUGCAAUUCUUUUAUCCUCUGGCAAGUCGCGACAACGGACGCCGCUCUGCUUCU
rnacentral:lncRNA from 1 species